CAAGAUUUGUUUUUUGUGUGCUUUGC
rnacentral:piRNA from 1 species